AAGUAGACAUGAGUGGUGUUUCU
rnacentral:miRNA from 1 species